UGGGGAAUAUUGCACAAUGGGCGCAAGCCUGAUGCAGCCAUGCCGCGUGUAUGAAGAAGGCCUUCGGGUUGUAAAGUACUUUCAGCGAGGAGGAAGGCGUUGUGGUUAAUAACCGCAGCGAUUGACGUUACUCGCAGAAGAAGCACCGGCUAACUCCGUGCCAGCAGCCGCGGGAAUACGGAGGGUGCAAGCGUUAAUCGGAAUUACUGGGUGUAAAGCGCACGCAGGCGGUCUGUCAAGUCGGAUGUGAAAUCCCCGGGCUCAACCUGGGAACUGCAUCCGAAACUGGCAGGCUAGAGUCUUGUAGAGGGGGGUAGAAUUCCAGGUGUAGCGGUGAAAUGCGUAGAGAUCUGGAGGAAUACCGGUGGCGAAGGCGGCCCCCUGGACAAAGACUGACGCUCAGGUGCGAAAGCGUGGGGAGCAAACA
rnacentral:rRNA from 1 species